rnacentral:lncRNA from 1 species
AUGUUGUAGCUGCGCGACAGGGUGGACUCUGCUGGAAUUAGUCCUAUGGCGCUGCUAGCAGCUGGCGAGGAUGCAGGUGAGGGCCAGCCACUAGCAGGCAUGCAGCUACUUAAGACCCUGUAGCCACUGGUCCUCCAUGACCCUACACACCACGCCCCCAUCAAGGAGUACUUAGUGUUCUGGCCCUGUACCAUCGUGCAGGCAGUGGAGGAGAUUUGCACUGUGGUAAGGCCAGUGGAGGAUGGGGCGAUCCAGAGGUUGUGGCUGCUGACCAAGGUGGACCACUAGACAACGAGAAGGAGCAGCUGGUGCUGGUCACCUAACAAUGGUUGCUCAUCUGCAAAUAUGAUUUCAUCAACUAUUAGUGCCAGCAGGUGGUCAGGGUGGUGCUCAGCUCAGUAGACACCAUCUCCUGUGGAGAAUUUCAGUUUCCUCCAAAGUCGCUCAACAAAUAGGAGAUUUGGGGGUUCACAUUCAGUGGGAUAAGCAGAACUGCCCUUCUUUCAUCAACAAAUGGAACCCCUGGUUUACAAACAUGCCCUAUGCCACUUUCAUAGAACACCUGAUGGCAGGCAUGGACCAGAAGACAGUGUCUCUGGGACAUUUGGAAAGCUUUAAGGCUCUCCUAAUCCAAGCUGCCAAGAAAGCCCAGAAGGAAAGCCCACUGCCAGGGCAGUGCUAGUGCUACAGAGCCCUUUCCUCAUCAAGACCUCCGUAGGGUUGAUGUCCUUCAUUAACAAGGAAGCCAACCUGGGCAACUACAUGACCAGGGAUAAGAUAGGUUUCUAG